UAUGCCGUCGCACACCUUGCACAUGCAUGCGAGCCUCCUCUGAAUUUAGUGACUAUAAUUUCUUUUCUUUUUUGGUCUUUAAGUGACUAGAAUUUCAACUUGUGAAUAAGCCUAGUUCAUUUGGCAAAACCUCUUAUGCAUUUAUGUCAUUCUCCUUAGACAUAAAGCUUCAAUAUUGCAUCUGAGUUAUGGUUUUUGGUUAUUAGGAUUUCUUUAACACAAAAUAAGAUUUCAAUUUCUAUUUUAUGUAGGGAUGAUGCAUAUCAUCGAAAGUCAGUAGCUGCUAGUUUAUAUUAGUAUGAAUCCAAAAAAGAUCCAUAUAAAUUUUACAUGAUAAAAUGAGGUUUAAAAGUCAAUUUUGUGAAACACUAGUAAAUUUUGCUUAUAUUAGGUUGUAACAAUUAGAGAAUGAAUCCAAAAAAGAUCCAUAUAAAUUUUACAUGAUAAAGUGAGGACUGAAAAGACAUUGUCAAAGUCAAUGUUAUUAGCAAUUCUCAUUUUAUGCACAAGUUGUCAAAGUAAAGUUUUACUAGUGAUCUAUAUUAAUUGCCAAGAACAAACAAACUAAUUGGUUUAUGUUUGGCAUAGGAAAGGAAGCUCCAUUUAAUUGUUCACCUUAAUAUUUCCAUUUCCAUU
rnacentral:lncRNA from 1 species